GGGGAUGUAGCUCAGUGGUAGAGCACAGGCUUUGCACGUAUGAGGUCCUGGGUUCGAUCCGCAGCAUCUCCA